rnacentral:lncRNA from 1 species
GUAAAGGAGGAAAAAAGAAAUCACAAUAUAAAAUUGGGGAUUUUCCUUUCUUUCUGCUUCUUGUUUCUAAAACAAUAGAAAUAGAGUAAUAAUAGAAAAGAAGAAGAAUUUGUCAUCAUAUUUCUUCCCAUCAACCCAUAACCUUAACCUUAAACAUACUCAAUCACUAACAACAACCGACAGCGACAGUCGACGAGAAUCGAGAAUCACCACACCACCACGCGCCGAAAAAGGGUAUUUUCUCAUUCAUUAGGUUUUGUUUUGAUGCGUAUGAAUGGAGAUUUUUGAUGUCGGGUUAGGAUUAGUUUUGUGCGAAAUUGUUUCUGCUUGUGCAUUUUGAAUGUUUAUCCUGCUAGGCUGGUACGUUAUACACACACAUCUCUUGACGCACGCCAAGUGUUUGUAUUCCAUUCUAUUGAUAAUAUUACUAGUUAGUAUGGACUGGUUUAAUAAUAUAUUUGUGGGGUCAUGAACUUUUUGUUUGGUUCUCUAUUU